UUCACCUUUAUCUAUUUCAUUAAAAUUGUUGUUUUACAAAACAUUGUAUUUUUAAGAAAAAAAAUCAAAUAUCUUGAGAUCCUAAUUCAUUCAAAUAGAAAGAAAUGAAAAGGUUUAUUUGUGAUUUGACAAAUUAUAUUUAAAUUGCAAUAUGUCCACGUCCAUGAAAAGUCAAAACUAUAAUACAUUUUGGUCUUUCAUAAACUCGGAUUUCUCAUAAAUUGAAAAUUAGUGUAUAUAUUGCACUUUGGAUUAAUUUACUUUUAGACAAGAAAGAGAGUUAUUUUUACUAGGAUUAUAAAAUGGAUCAAACUUUAUCUAAUGAAUUUCUUGCUGGAAAUAAUGGUAUCUCUAUUAUUCGACGAGAAGAUGAUGAGCUUAUCAUAUUUAGCUCAAUUGAUGAGGCAACAAAAUCCUGGCUAAAUUCUUUACACUACAUAUGGAAUUUAUGGAAAAAAAGUCAAGGAGUCACUAAAACUUUGACCGAUUAUUUUGAAACUGCUCCAAAUCCUUAUCUCAGUACUUUACGAAUAUUAGUCAAUACUAAUGAUUUCUCACACUCAAAAACAAAAUCAUCCCUCUCUUUUACAAUUAUGGAGGAUUUUUCAAAGUGGAUAGCUCCUCAGAAGGAUAAUUAUAAAGAAUGUUUGGAAGUGGAUUUAAAAUUAGCUGCUUUUAAAUUAGUUUCAAAACAAAAGAAUAUGCAGCUUGUUAAAAUAGUUGCAGAAACUUAUGAAUUUACUACUUGCAAUGAAUUAUUUUACCAAAUAAUAGAGGCCAUGAUAUGUGAUAAAAAAUACAAGGAAGCGGCUCAAUAUGCUGAAAUGCUAAAUUUACAGCCUUUCUUUGCAGAACCUGAAGUACUCUUACUUCCACUUAUUUUACAAAAUAAAGUUACAGUUGUUGAAGAUUUUUUAACAAAUCAGCCAGAAAUUCAAAAAAAUUUAGUUCAAUAUUUGGAUGGUCUUUUGGCACCAGGAAAAAAUAUACAAGUUACAUUGGAUCGUUUCAUCGAAAAGAAUAACAUAUCCGAUGUGAAAAUGUCCACUGCACAAUUUAGACCAAUGUCUAAAUUAGUUGCUCGUCUUGCUAAACUUUAUAAACUUCCACCUGAAAUUUGUCCCUAUUUGAAUCAAAAGCGUGGUGAAGGGGCUUUACAAUUUUUAAUUUACAAACGAUUUGUGGAAGGCAGCCUAAGUGCUGAGAGUUGGAGAGAAAUGGCUAGAGAAGCUGUUGGCAAUGAUGAACGAUUACAUAUUGAAUUAGUUAAAAAUUUGUCAUUUACAAAUGUUCAAGAAUCUCUUUAUUUUGCAAAAUUGUUAAAUGUUCCUGAAAGUGAAUGGCCCUGGUCUGUUCAACAGUUAGAUAAAGAAAAUCCAAAUGAUGAAGGUGCAAGUAGUAUACCACAAGAAAAUUGGGAUGCUGACGCUUGUGAUAAUUAUUAUACUUUAAAAUUGCCAAGAGAAAAUAUUAAAUUAGUUAGCGAUAAACGAUCUUUUGAAGAAUUUCUUGAUGAAAUAAUGAAAGGAACAAAUCUUGUUGGUAUUGAUUCUGAAUGGAAGCCAAGUUUUGGAACUAAAAAGUCAGAAUUGGCUUUAAUUCAAAUUGCAACAGAGACAAAUGUCUAUAUUUUAGACACAAUAAAUUUGGGAAGUGAAUUUAAAGAGCUUUGGUCUGAAUUAGGAUUAGUGCUAUUUGAAAAUAAAAAUAUAUUAAAAUUAGGCUUUGGAUUGGCGAAUGAUAUUGCAAUGAUGCGUGAAAGUUUACCGGCAUUAUCAAAUGUGAGAGCUUGUGGACAAGGUUAUAUGGAUCUUCUUCAUGUUUGGAGGAAAUUGGUCAAUGAAUAUGAUUUUCAAUUUCCCUAUGCUGGUGAUCCAAAUUUUUCAAAUGAAAGCCUCAGUAAAUUGGUGGAACUUUCUUUGGGUCAUAGAUUGAAUAAAUCUGAUCAAUUUUCCAAUUGGGAGAGAAGACCAUUGAGAGAAAGUCAAAUUAUUUAUGCUGCUUUGGAUGCGUAUUGCUUAUUAGAAGUUUAUGAUGCACUUGCAAAGCAAUGCGCGCAAAUGGAUAUUGAAUUUCACGAAAUAUCAGCACAAGUUCAACACAUUCCGCACAAGUCUCCAAAGAAAGCUGUUGUUAAAAAAACCACUUCAAGUCGAAAUGAAGUCAGUGAUAAAAUUGAAGCUGUCAGUCUUCCAGUGCAAGCGCCUCGAAUGCAACAAGCAAGAUGUGGCGUGAUUAAAGCUCAUCGAGUUGUUAAUGAUGUAGAACCUGAAGUUAAAAAUCUACCUGUAGCCGCUCAUCAAUGGCGUGUUGUUUGUGAUUCAAUGUUGGGAGCAUUGGCAAAACAGCUACGAAUGUGUGGUUGUAAUUGUGUUUACAUUGAAAAUGAUCGAGGUGGUGAUCAAUCGAUUAAAGUCGCUUUAAGCGAAAAUCGAGUUUUACUUACUCGAAACAGUUGUUAUGAAAGAUUUGCUCAACAUAUACCAACUGGUUCUUGCUACAGAGUUCUAACUGAUAAACCUGAAGAGCAACUUAAAGAAGUAUUAAAUUAUUUUAAUAUAAUAGUGACUGAGAGAGAUAUAUUUAGCCGUUGUCAAGUAUGCAAUCAAGAUGAAUUUGUUCGUGUAAUUGAUACAACAAUGAAUACACUCGUCGACAGUUUUACGAAAAUGAUGCGAGGUCGUAAUUAUCGAAAACCAGGUCCUUCAGUUGUUAAUAAUCAAUUUGAUGGUGAAUAUGAAGAUGUUUCUUAUGUUCAAGAGAAUUUCGAAUCUGGAGGAAAAUUACGUCAAUCUAAACAUGAUCGUACUUGGCGAUUAAGCGAAAAUACAUUGGAUCUAACACAAUGUCGAACAAAAUAUGGAAUUUUAAUUAAAAUCGACAAGGUGCCAUCGAAAGUUUUCAAAAAUGUAAAUUGCUUUUACAUUUGUGAAAGUUGUGGUAAAGUUUAUUGGGAUGGCUCGCAUAUGGAACGUGCUCUUAAUGGAGUAUUAAAAGAUGUCAUUGUUCAUAAAUGAUUGACAAAAAAAAUGUUUUUGUUAACAUAUUAAAAAUACGAAAUUGUGUUCAAAACUGAAAAAGGUGAUUUCUAUAUAGAUUAAAGUGUUGGAAGCAGAAUAUUAUUAAUUUCGGGAGUGUACGUGUUUUUUUAAAUCGGCGAUUAAGAUUCAUGUAGGGUAUUUUUUUUUUCUAGAAGUAUAUUCUUUAAUGUCGGGAGUUUUCGAAAUAUUUAAAACCGCGAUCGCAUUGUAAUUAUAUAAAUUGUUGUUUUAUUUAUAAUUUUGACAAGUGAUUCGGGAGUGUACGUAAUAUUUUAUAAUCGCGAGUGAAUAUUUAUGCAGAUGACAACGUACGAUUGCAGCUCCAUCAGGAUUGAGGUCGGAUAUAUAGGCGCGGAUGCUGUUCAAGAUGGAUGUUUUAUUCUUCAGGAGAAAGUGCAUACUAUGGAAAACUAUAAACAC